rnacentral:rRNA from 1 species
GCCAGACUCCUACGGGAGGCAGCAGUGGGGGAUAUUGCACAAUGGGGGAAACCCUGAUGCAGCGACGCCGCGUGAGUGAAGAAGUAUUUCGGUAUGUAAAGCUCUAUCAGCAGGGAAGAAAAAAGACGGUACCUGACUAAGAAGCCCCGGCUAACUACGUGCCAGCAGCCGCGGUAAUACGUAGGGGGCAAGCGUUAUCCGGAUUUACUGGGUGUAAAGGGAGCGUAGACGGCAAUACAAGUCGGAAGUGAAAUACCCGGGCUCAACCUGGGAACUGCUUUGGAAACUGUAUGGCUGGAGUGCUGGAGAGGUAAGCGGAAUUCCUAGUGUAGCGGUGAAAUGCGUAGAUAUUAGGAGGAACACCAGUGGCGAAGGCGGCUUACUGGACAGUAACUGACGUUGAGGCCCGAAAGCGUGGGGAGCAAACAGGAUUAGAUACCCCAGUAGUA